GCUAUGUUUUGAAACUUGGUGGUCACAUGGCAGUCAAAGUGGCUGUGAUAUGUAGAACUGACUAAGUGCAUCACAGCCUGCUUUGUCUGGAAUGUGUCUACUGCUGACUCAACUCUAACGC
rnacentral:precursor_RNA from 10 species